UACGGAGGGGGCUAGCGUUGUUCGGAAUUACUGGGCGUAAAGCGCACGUAGGCGGCUUUGUAAGUUAGAGGUGAGAGCCCAGGGCUUAACCCUGGAAUUGCCUUUAAGACUGCAUCGCUAGAAUUGUGGAGAGGUGAGUGGAAUUCCGAGUGUAGAGGUGAAAUUCGUAGAUAUUCGGAAGAACACCAGUGGCGAAGGCGACUCACUGGACACAUAUUGACGCUGAGGUGCGAAAGCGUGGGGAGCAAACAGG
rnacentral:rRNA from 1 species